UAAUACAUGCCAAGUCGAGAGCAAAUGGAUUAAGAAGCUUGCUCUUUAUGAAGUUAAGCGGCGGACCGGGUGAGUAACACGUGGGUAACCUGCCCAUAAGACUGGGAUAACUCCGGGAAACCGGGGCUAAUACCGGAUAACAUUUUGAACCGCAUGGUUCGAAAUUGAAAGGCGGCUUCGGCUGUCACUUAUGGAUGGACCCGCGUCGCAUUAGCUAGUUGGUGAGGUAACGGCUCACCAAGGCAACGAUGCGUAGCCGACCUGAGAGGGUGAUCGGCCACACUGGGACUGAGACACGGCCCAGACUCCUACGGGAGGCAGCAGUAGGGAAUCUUCCGCAAUGGACGAAAGUCUGACGGAGCAACGCCGCGUGAGUGAUGAAGGCUUUCGGGUCGUAAAACUCUGUUGUUAGGGAAGAACAAGUGCUA
rnacentral:rRNA from 1 species